rnacentral:tRNA from 1 species
AAAAAAGUAAGCUAAAUUGGUAAGCUAGCGGGCUCAUACCCCACUUAUAAAGGUCAUCCUCCUUUUUAA